rnacentral:tRNA from 1 species
GCCUAGUUAGCUUAGUUGGUAGUGCGUCUGCCUUGUAAGCGCUAGGCCGCGGGUUCGAUUCCCGCCCGAGGAA